UUGCAAUUGCAACAACAAAAUUAUUUUGUUUCUCUUCCCUAUCGCUCGUCGUCUCCUCGUUAUGCGCCACGUCGGAAUCCGCCGACGGUGAUGAAGAUUCACGCUCCCCCCCCCCCCCCCCCCAAAACAAGUAUGAGCGUUUCCAUCGGUUUAAUCGUUUCUUACGGGCUUAAUAACUCAUGAGGUACGCGCACCACGUGUUCGACGAAAUUCACUAGAGGCUCACAGCCACGUGAUAGAAUCCACAGAUAAAACGAGAUACAGUGGUGCAAAUGGUGUCUCUUUAAGAAAUCUGGCAGCAUUCAGCUAGCGACGAUCUCUGAUCAAUUUGCUAUCCAGAAAGUGGUGUCUUGCUGGACGUGAUAUUAAGAGAAAGGCAACAACCCACGCACUAUAUUUUGUUGUACGAUAGUUUAUCAGCUGGCAUUUAAAAUAGGCUUCAAAAAAGUCAACGGGGGCAUUCCAUGAAUUGAACUCAGGACCUCUGGCAACCAAACCUAUUAGUUUGUGAAUUUGAAAGCCUACAAAACAUGAUGAUCUGCCCUACCUGAAAAAUAGUUAACAAGAUUAAUUGACUCUACCUGAAACAGCGAAUCUGCAGAAGAAAGGUGGUUUCUGGUUGAUGAGUUGGGUUAGUUUGGUCUCAACACUUGAUGUCGAAAAUUAUCACAUGAAGUUCAAGAGCUUAUGACGGAGAUUUAAACUCCAGACUACCUUUUUGAGUUAAAAAGGGUAAGGGUCUUGUCCUUCGUUUGUUGGGAUGUUAAUUUCAUUGUUUUAAGAGCAACUACUGGCGUUUUUAAUCUAGUCCUGAUGAAAUGCUAGAGAAGACAUUAAUGUUUAACUGCUGAAGCUUGUUGCAGUGGCCCCAUCCGACAUGAAAGCAAAGGUUGUCUCUUGGAGAAAUCUGCCAGAAUUGUGUGAACGGCUCCAAUCAAGCCAAAACCUAAAUCUCAAAGAUGAUUCGCUGUUUGAGUUUAAAGCGUUGGAGCUGGUUUUGGAAUAUUAUCUUGCUUGUCUUUAGAUGCACAGGGUGCAGCUUUAACCGAGUGCUACGCUCUACAAGUUUUUUUGCUGGACUUGAUUUUAACAGGUUAAAAGGUCCCCUUCCUUAACACAGAACACUCGACUCUCCCUAGUCUGCAAGACCUUCCACUCUCUCAUCUUAUCCCCUGAGAUCCUCAUUGAGCGACGUCACUACAAAACACAAGAAAACUUCCUUUAUGUCUACUUACAGUUGCCUGGUCGUAGUCUUCCUUCCUGGUUCACCCUCUGGAUAAAACCUGAUCAAACCCUAAUCAAUAAACUUGAUCAGGAGGAUGGCACGUCUACUGAAACUACUAUCUUGGUACCAAUACCUUCUUCAUAUUCUCCUUGUGAACCAACAUCAUAUAUUGGUAUAGUUGGUUCAAAGUACUAUGAUCUCAUACAAUUAAUACAGCAUAUCUCCUUGUGGCUCCCGACAGAGGGAAAGGUUUACGUUAGUAGCAGCGAGAAGAAACUUUAUUUUUAUGAUCCAAAGGAGUUGAGAUGGGGCGUUGCAGUGUAUUACAGCGGAUGUAUUGUACGCCUGUGGUGAUGAAAACUAUAUCUUGUGGUUUGACCCAAAGCAUGAAGGGUGGAGAGUGGUCAAAGGAUUGGAUUGGAGGUACUGUGUAGGACUUGUUGUGCUUGUGCUCUUUCGGUAGCUAACUACGGUGGGAGACUCUUAGUCUUGUGGGACAAGAAACAGCCUAAUAAGUGGUACACAAUACUAACAUUUGGUGCUCGGUGAUUUGCACUUGAAAGACGCAAUGGUGAUGACGAUGUUUGGGGAAUUGUUGAGUGGGCUGGUGUUGUGCUUACAGUUCCUAGUGCAUACUUUUUCUUGCGUUGUCGAGUGGAGACAGAGUGAAAGAAUGCUUUUGUUUACACCAGGCCAGUAGCCCUUUUUGUUUUUUUCUAUUGACAUUUCAAUUCGUUUUAGUUUUAAUUCUUUAAUAAAUCAGUCGUUUUAAAUAAACUACUAUGCUCAAUUAAAACUCUUGGCAAACAUCAACCGGUAAGAAUUUUGGUCA